UACGUAGGGGGCAAGCGUUGUCCGGAAUCAUUGGGCGUAAAGAGCGUGUAGGCGGCCCGGUAAGUCCGCUGUGAAAGUCCAGGGCUCAACCCUGGGAUGCCGGUGGAUACUGUCGGGCUCGAGUCCGGAAGAGGAGUGUGGAAUUCCUGGUGUAGCGGUGAAAUGCGCAGAUAUCAGGAGGAACACCAAUGGCGAAGGCAGCACUCCGGGACGUGACUGACGCUGAGACGCGAAAGCGUGGGGAGCAAACAGG
rnacentral:rRNA from 1 species